rnacentral:lncRNA from 1 species
GACUUGAGUUCGAUAGUGGAAAACUCUUUCUUCCACUUUAUAUUACUGCCCUGGCCAAGGUCUUAGAACUCAGUCUAACAAAUCACAUAGGAUCACUCCUCUUCUAUCAAGGUCGAUAGAUUUCUUGUAGAUGCAUACCCUACUCCUACAGUGAACCUACUGCAGCCAAUCUACACUGCAUGGACCCAUAUGGGUAGAGACCAUAUAUGUGUGCAGUCAAACUACAAUAACCUCACUGUGAGUAGCCGAAGCACCGCAGGUCAAAGGACCAGUCACACUACUGCAACAUCAAGCAAGUCACUGACGAGUGGAUAGACAUCCAAGUGACUUUUUGUCUUGG